rnacentral:rRNA from 1 species
GGCGAUGCGGGAUGAACCGAAAGUUAAGUUAAAGUGUCGAAAUAUAAGCUAAUUUAGAUAUCAUAAAAGGUGUUGAUUUAUAUAGACAGCAGGACGGUGGUCAUGGAAGUCGAUAUCCGCUAAGAAGUGUGUAACAACAUACCUGCCAAAUGAAUUGGCCCUGAAAAUCGAUGACGCUCAAGCUUAAUACUUAAAACUUAACCGUUAUUGCGAAUUAAUUAGCUUUAACGAGUAGGAGAACGUGAAUGUAAUUAAAAAGUUUAAUGAAGUGAUUCUAAAUGAAAUUGCAUUUAGUGCAGAUCUUGGUGGUAGUAGCAAAUAUUCAAGUAAAAUUCUUGAAAACCGAUGAAGAGAUAGGUUUCAUGAGAACAGCAAUUGAUCAUGAGUUAGUCGAUCCUAAAGUAAAGAUUAAUUUUCGAAAAAAGAGAAUUUCUGUAUU